AUGAACUCUUCUCUGGGCUUAGUGACUGUGAUACUCUUCCUGCUUGGACAAACACGUGGAGACUCAGUGGACCAGAUGGGAGGCCAAGUGACCCUAUCAGAAGCAGCUUCCCUGACUAUCACCUGCAAUUACUCAGUCAGUUAUCCAUACCCUAUACUCUAUUGGUAUGUUCAGUAUCUGGGAGAAGGCCCAAAGGUCCUCCUGAAAGCCCAGACGGACAAAGGAGUUGGAAGAGAGAGAGGUUUUGAAGCAACAUACCGCCAAGACUCAAAAUCCUUCCACUUGGAGAAAGCGGCAGUGCAAGAGUCAGACUCAGCUGUGUACUACUGUGCUGUGGGUGACACAGUGACAGGACCUGCAGGGGGAGCUGAGCACAAACCCUGA